GUUGUUUCAACCUCUUCUGAUCAAAAGUAUGCCCGAUGAGACCGAUAGAGCGUGCGAGGACGAAUAGUCCGUUCAGAUAACCGAUCUCGAUAAUCUCAUCAAUCUCUUGCUUGUUGAACAUUCCGCUGCCCGCAAGGAGAUCCAAGAAAAGAGACCCAAUCGCACCAUCAACAUUUAGAACCAGGUUGUUUGCCUUUGUGAGAGUAUAGGUCUCAACUUGAACAGCAUAUUCCAUGUAUUUUACUGCAGGGAAGUGAGCAUGAGCAUAUUGUUGCAGCAACUGCACUCUCUUGUCUCGGUUGUCUCGGCUUUUGAUCCUGU
rnacentral:misc_RNA from 1 species